rnacentral:rRNA from 1 species
UACGGGAGGCAGCAGUCGGGAAUAUUGCGCAAUGGAGGAAACUCUGACGCAGUGACGCCGCGUGAGUGAAGAAGUAUUUCGGUAUGUAAAGCUCUAUCAGCAGGGAAGAUAAUGACGGUACCUGACUAAGAAGCACCGGCUAAAUACGUGCCAGCAGCCGCGGUAAU